GAAUUCAACUCCUACGGGAGGCAGCAGUGGGGAAUUUUGGACAAUGGGGGCAACCCUGAUCCAGCAAUGCCGCGUGAGUGACGAAGGCCCUAGGGUUGUAAAGCUCCUUUGUGCGGGAAGAUAAUGACGGUACCGCAAGAAUAAGCCCCGGCUAACUUCGUGCCAGCAGCCGCGGUAAUACGAAGGGGGCUAGCGUUGCUCGGAAUCACUGGGCGUAAAGGGUGCGUAGGCGGGUCUUUAAGUCAGGGGUGAAAUCCUGGAGCUCAACUCCGGAACUGCCUUGAUACUGAGGAUCUUGAGUUCGGGAGAGGUGAGUGGAACUGCGAGUGUAGAGGUGAAAUUCGUAGAUAUUCGCAAGAACACCAGUGGCGAAGGCGGCUCACUGGCCCGAUACUGACGCUGAGGCACGAAAGCGUGGGGAGCAAACAGGAUUAGAAACCCGUGUAGUCCAGGCGUU
rnacentral:rRNA from 1 species